UAAGAGAGUUUGAUCCUGGCUCAGGAUGAACGCUGGCGGUAUGCCUAACACAUGCAAGUCGUACGAGAGUUUUUAACUCUAGUGGCGGACGGGUGAGUAACACGUGAGAAUCUGCCUUUAGGAGGGGGAUAACAACUGGAAACGGUUGCUAAUACCCCAUAUGCUUUCGAGUGAAAUGGAUUUAUCCGCCUAGAGAGGAGCUCGCGGCUGAUUAGCUUGUUGGUAGGGUAAUGGCCUACCAAGGCGACGAUCAGUAUCUGGUUUGAGAGGACGAUCAGACACACUGGAACUGAGACACGGUCCAGACUCCUACGGGAGGCAGCAGUGGGGAAUAUUGCACAAUGGGCGCAAGCCUGA
rnacentral:rRNA from 13 species